CGUGGAGGUCCGAACCCACGAGCGUUGAAAAGCUCGGGGAUGACUUGUGGGUAGCGGUGAAAUUCCAAUCGAGCCCGGAGAUAGCUGGUUCUCCCCGAAAUAGCUUUAGGGCUAGCCUCACGGUGAGAGAUACGGAGGUAGAGCACUGAAUGUCCUAGGGGGUAUUGCACCUACCGAAGACUAUCAAACUCCGAAUGCCGUCAUCUUAUACUUGGGAGUCAGACUGUGGGUGAUAAGAUUCAUAGUCGAAAGGGCAACAGCCCAGAUCGUCAGCUAAGGUCCCUAAAUGUAAGUUAAGUGGUAAAGGAUGUGGGAUUGCACAGACAACCAGGAUGUUGGCUUAGAAGCAGCCACUCAUUCAAAGAGUGCGUAAUAGCUCACUGGUCGAGUGAUCCUGCGCCGAAGAUUUCCGGGGUGAAAACUUACUACGGAAGUUACGGAUUCAGUAAUGAGGGGUAGGGGGGCUGACCAUACGGGUUGAGGCAUGACCGUAAGGACAGGUGGACAGGAUGGGAGUGAGAAUGUUGGCAUGAGUAGCGAGAUGGGGGUGGGAAUCCCAAAGGCAGUAAACCCAAGGUUUCCAGGGGAAGGUUC
rnacentral:rRNA from 1 species